rnacentral:rRNA from 1 species
AGCGAACGCUGGCGGCAGGCUUAACACAUGCAAGUCGAGCGCCCCGCAAGGGGAGCGGCAGACGGGAGAGUAACACGUGGGAACAUACCUUUUGGUUCGGAACAACUGAGGGAAACUUCAGCUAAUACCGGAUAAGCCCUUACGGGGAAAGAAUUAUCGCCGAAAGAUUGGCCCGCGUCUGAUUAGCUAGUUGGUGAGGUAACGGCUCACCAAGGCGACGAUCAGUAGCUGGUCUGAGAGGAUGAUCAGCCUCACUGGGACUGAGACACGGCCCAGACUCCUACGGGAGGCAGCAGUGGGGAAUAUUGGACAAUGGGGGCAACCCUGAUCCAGCCAUGCCGCGUGAGUGAUGAAGGCCUUAGGGUUGUAAAGCUCUUUUGCCCGGGAAGAUAAUGACGGUACCGGGAGAAUAAGCCCCGGCUAACUUCGUG